CGACUCUGAAAAACUAGGAUGAAAUGGAGAUCAUCUCUGCAAAAUACUGGAAAAAUAGAAGACAUUGUAUGAUUCAAGAAAGAACAGUUUUUACAGGGAAGAAGAGUUCUUUUGCAAAGAUGUAACUACUAUCAAUUUUGUGUCUACUGUGUUAAAUCGUACGUGUGGAUCACCCAAAGCCUAGAAGAGGACCUCCCUGGCUGGGGUGGCCUAGGAGCAUUGACAGUGCAGCCCAUCAAAAUGUUUGUGGACCACCAAGGAUGAUGGUGCAGUGCAUUACAUACUGCAUGAGAUGCCUUUGAGCCCCUAUUCCACAGGUACUCAACUGGAACUUUUGCAAGUGAAAAACCAUCAAAAGUGAAAUGCCUAGCUGCUGACUCCGCUGCGUUUGGCCACAGACUGCUGCUUGUAUGAGGCACUUCAGUUUUGCUUUUUCUGUAGUUUCUAAGGAGUUUAGGGGAAAAGAAGUACUUGUCCCUUUUGUCUUGCAACUCUGCAUGUUCUGCAGCCCAGUCAGAGCAGGAGCCGUAACCUGGAAAACUGGCCACAGUAUGAAGGUGUUGGCUGCAGAAAUGAGUAUGAGGUUGCAAGGAUUUAUGAAUUCAGGGACUGAUUUACAUCCAAAAAUGAUAAAAGGAAAUCACUGCACCAACAGAAGUUCAAACCGAAUAAAACCAAAAGUAGGGGACAUGGCAAAUUCUCUGAUCUAAGGAAAGGGGAGAAAGGUGAAAUUAAUGUGGUGGUGCUCUGAAUUUUCAUUUCAAGGAUGUUCUUCAUUCAUCAAAUACAGGAAAAAAGAGUAGAAGAAACAUGUAAGUCUUCAUGAAAUUUCUGCUGAAGCAAGUGAGACUUUUCCCUGGUUUCAGUGACCCAACUGUCCCGUGACACUCACAUGAUCCUGUAACUUUAAAAAAAGUGUGAUGCCACUCUUAUGAACCUUCUGCCAUUCAAGAGCUCCAGUCUGAGACAUAUAUGAGGACUUCCUGGGGAUAAGUGGCUUGCGAGACUUGUCCUUCAACCUGUGAGCAGCCCUGUGGUACUGUGCAAGACUGGAUGACACUUCAGUCUUACUCAAGAAGAAUGGGAGUUACCUUGUAUUGUCAGCUCCUGACUUGUUUGCUGGGAGGAGGAUGUGGUUGAUGUGGACUUUAAAGCUCUUUGAAUGUACAUUCAAUAUGUAGCAGCUUUCAGCACAGGGACAGGAAAAUCUUUGAAAGCUGGCAUCCUAUUUCCUAAUGCAGACCAAAACAACCUUGUCUCAUCACAGCAGUGGAUGUUCUCUUCAUCAAAGUCCUGUAGCAGACCAAACAACACUUCUUUUUUUCCAUGCUUGAUGGGGGACUGAGGAGAGGCAGUGUGCAAGAGAGAAAUACACAAAAGAAAGGUAACUGAAAAAGUUCAUAUUGAGAUCUGUCAAAAUAUUGAGUAGUGUUUAGUUCUCAAAAUCUCUUUCCACUGCCAUUAUGGAGACUAUGGAACAAAAGUUCCCUGAGUACUGAGAGCCUAUUUCAGUGUCUUCCCAGAUGCAUUUUGGUGCUGAGCACUCUGGGUCUCAGUAUUUGUCUCAUGUUUAAGCACCAUCAAGAUCCACAGUUAAAGAAUUCAGCUCUGCUAUAUUCUCUAUGGGGCCCAAUCCCAUAGGCCUUCUAAGAGCAUUGCUAAUUUUUUCCUUGUACAAGGAAGUACCAUGCAAAUUGAGACGUUCAGAUUCUGUUAAGUGGAAGGGUGCUUAGAAGUUAGCUUUUGCUCAGAGCUGUGACAUCUGCGUGCUUUGGUGGAGCAAAUCCCAGUUCUUUGUUCUGACCACAUCCUUGAAAAGAAAUGGCAUUUCCUCAGGCCCUCUGGUUCAGGAGUUGGGGAAGAUUACAACAUCAAGAGCCAGUGUCAUAGUGUAUGCACACAAGCAUAACUCUUUUAGACUUACUGUGUCAGCAAGCUGUCUGGGUAAAAUUACUGUCUGGUUUUAUAUGUUUGAAUAUUCAUUAUUGCCUGUAUUGCACUUAUUUUUGCAUAAAUAGCAAGAACAAAUUUACUGUGGCAUUGCAGUGAUAUAAAAGAGGAGGUUCUAACAUUAUUGUAACGUAGCAGUCAUGUUGCAGUCAUCUUAAAUUGAUGGCUCUGUCCAUGUGCAUUAGGAUCCUUUUGCAGCCACACUGCUGCUCUACAUAAUGUUAUUAUACUUGCUGAAUCUGUCUGUAUCUACUUAAAAUUAAUAAAUAAAAGCCAGUGUGUUUUUGUAUGUGCUGUUGCACAGAGAAUAUCAGUAGUUUAGGUUAUUCAGAUACCACAGUGAUGUGCAACCAUAUGAAAAUUCGGCUCAGUACCAUACUGUGCCAAAACAUACAUUAAAUCCGAGUUAUAUCUGAAGAAUACACAUGGUUCCCACGAUAAAAUCUGUAGUUUCAUGGUUUAUGUCAUCACACUUAUUGCCUGCAUUUGGAAUAUCUGUUACACCAAUAUACAAAUAACUGCAGGGCUCAGCUUAUUUUUAUGUUUCAAUAUGUUAAAUUUCUUCCAUAAUAUACAUUGAAGUUACACUUCUGUAUUUAAUUUUGGAGAAAAUCAAAGGCAAAGGAAGUAGAAUAGUCUGUCGAAAACUGCUCCUGUUAUGCAGAAUCUGACAGUAAACAAAUUAAAUUUUAUGGGAGUUUUACAGAAGAUCAGUUAUUAUGCAGUGAUUCAGAAUUUGGUUUUGCAAAGGAUACAUGAACCAGUCCCAUUAUUUGCAAUGUAUUCAUAAUUUCCAAAUAUUGAAUAAUACUUUUAUUAAUUAUAUUCAAAAUAUCCAAGUUUUCUUUUCAGGCUUCUGAAGGGGCAGCUUCUGAGAACGUCAUUCAAGACGUAGACUGUGUUUUUGAAUGAACUGUGUGGACUCGUUUAAAAACUACAUAGUCUUAGGAAUGCCAGAAGUGCAGCUCUCUCCUGGAGGAGGGAGAGGGGAAGGGAGACAGGAGGGUUCCAUGUUUGAUGCAGUUCACUGAUUUCUGCAUCAAACUUGCUGAACUUAGAAGUACAAAUGCAGUUUUCUUUCUUUUUUUUUUGGCAGCCGGCUCAGCACAUUUGCCCCAGGCCCUGACAGUCAACCUGGGUUCUUUCCGUUUCAUGUGUCCUUUCUGGUAAUAGAGUCUCUGCAGGCUGUAUUAUGCCUCCAACACAUCUCUGUGGUGUUGUCUUCAGAUUAUGCCAUCAGUGCCACCUGCGCAACCUUAUUAGUCUUCAGUGUUGUGGUUAAAGUAUUGUGAAAGGCAAAAUCAAAGGUGGUUGUGGUUUGUAAGUAUCCAGGAGAGCAAAACUGUGAGUCCUCAAAGCCUUUGCUACUGAUGAUGUGGGUUGCCAGACUUACCAUGUAAAAUGAGAUCUUCUAUACGUUGUUUAUGUUCUGUAUCCAGUAUUUAAGGUGUAUGAGACAAUGUUUUUCAUUGUUACAUGUGUGUUUUUGCAUAUAAAAAUGCAAAGCUGAGAUACAGGAAAUUCUUCAUAGCUUCUGGUGGUUCAUAGCUGCAGCCUGUGUGGCAGAAGCAGCAAAAACUCUCUGCCAGAGAGGAGGCCCCACAGAAAACUGGAGGUGGGGCGGGGGGCAGGCUGGCAGCAGAGAGCUGCUGCCUGCCUCAUUGCAGCUCUCUGCUGGAUUAGUGCCCCUCUGCGGGAGGUGGUGCUGGAGUGGCCAGAGUCUGAGGCAGGUGGGAUGGAGAGUCCUGGGGACUGCAAGCCAAAGGGGCAUCUCUCUUAGUCAUGGUGCCCAGGAUGGAAAGAACUGAACUAGAGUCAGCUUGUGAAAUCAGAUCAUAGGGGAAAACAGUGCAAACGUUUAAUUCAGAAGUAAGAAAUGUUUAUAUAGAAGUCUAUACCUUGAUGUUGUAGCUACAUAGAAAUCAAUGCUGAGAGUAAUUACCUGAAGAGCUCUGAGACAGUUAGUUAAUUUAUAUGUGUAAAGUAUUUUGUGUUUUAUUUAUUUCUUUAUGAAAAGUGAGACCAUUGUGUUGGCAUUUUCAGUUGCUGCCUAAGAUGCCUAAGCAACUGUGAGGCUGCUCUGGGUUGCAGUUGGGUGAGUUCAUCCUGCCCAGCCUAAAGUUCAGUAGAAUGUCCUGAGGUUCGAACACUCUUCCCUGUCUAUGCCAAAUAUAUGCUGUUCACAGCAGAAAGCCUGACCAAGUAGGUUCUGUUAUCAGACUGCCCUUUCCUUAGACAACUGAAGGCAGAUUUGAGAUAGGCUGCCACUCUCAGUGGCUGAGAACUAAAUUCCACUGAAAAAAAGCUAUUUGUGUUUCAAGUUGUGCUACAGGGGAAUGAAAAUGAAAAGAGUCAGAUCAAGGGACAGCACAUGGUGUAGAGCAUUCUCUGAAAAUGACAGUACAGUGCCAGUUUUCAGAUGUGUGCAGAUGAUCAACAAACAAAUCCCUGAGCUUUCUUCUACCUUGUGCAAGCCUUGAUCUGCUUUCCAGAUUCAUUCUUCACUUACCCGGAUUCAUUCUUCACUUACCCACUCAACCUCCGAUAGUUCAAACUAGGUGACUCUAUGCAAGAGCAAAACAUUAAAUUGGAAAAGAGCUAACAGUUCAGCAUCUUCAGGGCUACAUUCAACUUCAGUAUCAUGAACUCUGGCCACAGCAUAGCACUCUUUGUAAGAAAGCUGCUAGAGCACAAGCUGGUUUCCUAACCUGACAAAAUUUGCAGAUGUAGAUGAAAAGAGAAGGAUCUUGCAUUCUCCUCAUUCAGGAAUGCAAAGAUUGCAUAGCAUAACAUUGAUUGACUAGCAUAACACAGAAAAUGAACAAUUGCCUGGGGCCUUUGUUACCAUCUUUUUUCCCCUCUUAUCUGAAGUGAGGAGAAAUUAGCAGGGCUGGAAGCAGGAAGGAGAAAUGAAAGAAGACAGGAGCCUUUGUACAGGCUUUUGGCACACAAACCUCCUAAAAUUGUUCUCGCUUCUGGAAAAGACAAGUGGACUGGAGGCUGGAUGCUCACAGAGGCCCAGGAGCUAAUUUAUACUUGCAGCUUCUGCUUUGCGGAGUAUACAUCCAGAGAAGACCUUCUGAGCAGAGCAAUACUGAUUCUUAAGUAGUUUAUCUUCUCUGCUCUUCCCACACUGAAAGGGAAAAGUAAGUGUUCCAGCCACUCAUGCCCCAAACACACUUUCUAAAACUCUGAAUCUCCUUUUGUAUCGAGUUGCUGCUGAAUGGCAUCUGUUGCUCAGAGGAUGUAAUGACAGCUGGAUCAAUCCCUCCCCUUGUAAAGAGAGGAGCUACAUGAAUGCUUCUUCGAGUUACAUACAUCAGGUGGAGAUCAGAAAGGAUCCUUGAAAUAAGGGUCAUGUGUUUGUUAAAUCUAAACCCCAGCCAACCCAGGCCAUCUUCUCAUCAUGUUUGAUUUUGCGAUCCAGCUGGGUGUUUUUAGGAAGACUGGAAAUCUGGAUAGAAGCAGAAGCUAUCAGGAACCUCUUGCUUCACUGGGCACAAUCCACAACCUUUCAGGCACUGCUUGAAACUCAGAAUUUAUUAAGAAGUCAAACGGGAAGCUUCAUUUCAACCUGGGAAUUUCAGGAAAAUUCUGUCACACAAGUCAGCUGGUUAAAAAUACCUUUCUGCAGUGCAAACAAGCUUGACAAUGCCUGCCGAAAUUCAGAGGGUGCCGCAGCCCUGCCCCCAGGUGAGCUGAUGCCUUCCUUCCCUGUGCAGCAGUGCCUCCUGUGCCUUUGAGGGAGGAGGGGAGCAGAAGAAUUUGCCUCACCAGCAGUAAGGUCUCACCAGCUCUGUGUAAUCCAGACCAAUAUACCUUCUCUACACUGAGGAGGAAGAUGAAGAGCGAUGACCUGUUUUGGACAUUGACAGAGAGCUUCUGGUGGUUUCACCACGUGUGGAGUCACAUGCAGGCUCAUCUCUUCCACAAUGAGUUGUCAGUGGUGGAGUAGAAGACCCUCAGCAAAGAAUUUGAUUUAAUGAGUCUCUGAGUUUUAAUGUCAUUUAUACUGCAGCAGGGUUACAACAGUGUAUAUUUCAUAGCAGUGCUGCAGUUUUCACAUGCAAUUCAUGUAUGUGAUGAGAUGAUCAGAAAUCUGUGUGCUGGAUAAAAGGAGCGUUUUUUUCUUUCACAUUCACAGUUUUCUUGGAAUCUCAGUAAUAUAUGAUCCAAUAGCAAUAAAUGGGACGUAGGAGUUAGUAACGGUUACAGAACAUUUAAGUUUUGUUUUUAUUUAAAAAAAAAGGCUGUCUCAGGAUGAUGGAUGAUUCAAAACAGCUAAUGAACUUCUGUGCCUUUCCCUUCAAUGCUACAGGAACAAAUCCAUUUUAACGUGGUGGUGAGUCAGUCUCCUGGUUUUUCUCUCAGAUGAGAUGAAAUGGUGUUUCUAGACCAGUUUUCCUGGACAGAAUAUAAUAGUAAAACAUACAUUUCCUACUAAUUGAUAGUUUGGUGAAAAAAAAUCUCAAAGAAAAACCUGGUUUGAUAAGCCAAAACCUAGUGCCCAGUGUUACACAGAGGCCUUCUGUAGAUAUAUCCUAGGUCCUCGAUUAUGUUACUUUUUUCCUACAUUUAUUAAAAAAGUACACAUGGGCACAAAUUGCAGUUGAGACUUAGCUGUACUGUGAUAUGAAAAAGCAUCAGUGAUGUAGUAAAGAUUCUGUCUAGAAAUUAUUUGAAUUUAAUUGAGGCAGUAGUUAGAAAUGUAUUUUUAUUUGUAGCUACAGAGAAUUUUGAAACAGGAUUGUUCCAUUUAUCAUGUACAUAGGUGAUGAUCCUGAUAAAAAGGAAUAAUACCUAUGAGAGAGUUUUCUUACCUGAUUUACUUCAUCAGUGGAAAAAAAUUAUUUAUACAGAAGAGAUAAAGAUAGGGCAGCUUGCAAGAUUUAACCUAUUUUCUUUACUUAGGUACAACAAUAUGAAGUUAUACUCAUAUUUUUUUGUGAAUGCUAACAUUUUUAUGUAAGUGCUAAAGGUACCAAAGGAAUAAUAAAGCAUCCAUGCUCAGGGCUGCUAUUUUAGUUAUCAGGAGCUGCUUUCUAGAGCAGAAGUGGAUCAGUUGUCCUCUUUUUUACCAGUUAAAGCAAGAGUAAGUCCCUUGCUGUGAUGUAGAUGAAAGAGGACUCAGCUGCCAGGUACUGGAAAAUAUGGACAAUUAGUGCAUGUAUAAUAUGAAUGAAAGGAGUGUUUUGUACAUUUUGGUAACAGGAAUUGCUUAGCUGGCAAGAAUUGGAAUUGUAAAAUAUGCCUACUCUAGCUGUCCUGGUGAAUGAUUAGUAUUCUUGUUUGAUAGAUAUUAAUAUGAUCCUUCUCAUUCAAACUUUUCUUACUUAUGGCUGUAUUAUUCAAAUUAAAUAUUCUAAGAAUCAGUGCAAAAACAGUUAAUGCUGUAAAAGUACUCUUUUUUGCUUGAGAUAAACCAGGCUGUUUGUGAGGGAUAUUUUCAGAAGCUAAGCUUUUAGU